CGUAUAUAAUAUGGUAUGGCACGGGGAAAAAAACAUGCAAUUCUACGUGCAAUAUAAUUGACCACGAAACUAUAGGCAAACACAAUUUCUGACGUAAGAAUCGAAUAUUAUAUAUGCUAAUAAUUAUUUAUUUACUUAUUUAUUUCGAACUUCACAAGCCAUUUAGGCUUUUAGAUUUUACCCAACUGACAUUUUAAAUUUUUCUCUAUAAUAUAAGGAUUUAUUCCAGCCCGUCUGUCGGACUACGUAAAUUCUGUCAUAUCAAUUAUAUACAGGAUCUCGGACAUUCUUCUGUUUCCUGCGUGGUCUUCCUCUUGGACUGAGCUCAAUAACAUACAUUUAUACACGUUUCUCCCAUUGCGCGUGUGCAAAAGCAUCUGUGACCAUUAUUUAACGAACGAUUUGAAUUUUAAGCAGUUUGGGGUAUAAAAAAUGCAAUUUCUUAUUUUGUCUUCUCAAUUAUAG